UCUACCCAAGAAAGAGUUCAGAGUGAUGAUUGUGAAGAUGAUCCAAAAACUCAGAAGAAUAGAUGCACAGAGUGAGAAGUUAGAAGUUUUUAAAAAAGAGUUAGAAGAUAUAAAGACAACCAGAGUUGAAGAAUACAAUAACUGAAAUGAAAAAUACACUAGGAGGAAUCAAUAGUAGAAUAAACGAGGCAGAAACAUGGAUCAGUGAGCUUGAUGACAGAGUAGUGGAAAUCACUGCUGAAUGGGAAAAAGAA